UUCUCUAAACAAGCUUUUACUAGUUACACUAUGGAGGUCCUCUUUUAUUCUUGCAUUCUCAAAAAGUGAAGCAAUAUCAGUUCCUGGAACAGGUUUUUGCCCCCUUCUAACACUCUCUUUUGCAAAAAGAUCAACACACAGAGCAGUUCGACAGAUGCAUGCUAAAGCAUGCAUGCGAUCUGACUCUGCUCUCAGGUUUCUCACCAUAAGAAGCAACUUUUUAAAUAAAGAAACCUGCAGAAAGUAAAUUAAUUAAUAGGUGUUCUCUAGACAAUGACUGAAUGAAGAAUUGACAAGGCCAUCAUGAAAAUUGGAAGUAUAUCACUUCUCCUUCAUAGUCGAAUCAGUAUAAUUCUCAACCAAAUGCACGAUUGUAUCACUAAAAGAUAGAUACACCAAGAUCAUAGAGGUGAAGGAAGAUGGAAAUUGAACAAUAUUUCUACAAACAUGUCGAACCGGCUAGAAGUCCAAGGGUGAAACAUGUUUCUCUUUUUUCUUUUGAAAUCAAAUUAACAAGCAAAAAAAAAAAGCCAACAAUGAUCUCUAAAGCAUGUGCACUGAAUUCAGAAAAGACACAAGAAUGAAGGUAGAUUGUACUAACCUAAGGACAAAUGAAAAAAGAAAGAAGCAAAGCAAACGAAGAGAUUCUACCCACAGGAUUGAAAUGAAACCAUUUGCAAGUAGUCAACUCAUAUUGAUAUAUAGAAUUCUCGAGAAGGAAACUUCAAAUGAAGAGCAUAAUCUAUUUGCACAGUAAUAUACACAUGCUAGAUUGCUAAACAACUCGCAGCAAACAUUAGCAUAAUGCAGAACUGAGGCAUGGAGAAGUGAUUAUAGUAGCUUGCAUCAGGAAACCCAGUUAUCCCUUUCAACGGUUAAUGUUAUACUUAUUUAUUUGGAUAAAUAAUUAAUGUAAUACUUGAAUGUGACACAAUUUCAGUAACAGCAACCGAACAGUGAAAUGAUGUGCUCAGAAUCUACUAUCAGUUUCAGAGAUUAUCAUCAUACAGGGUCAGUAGUUAAUAAGCCAAAUCAACAAUUCCUAUUUGUCUUCAAAAGAGGAAAAAAGAAGGCAACAGAUACACCAACCUGCAUGCUGAGAUCAAGAAGAUGCAAAUUGGUGACAACAGCUCUUACAAUACUCUCCCUUGCAGAAGAAAACUCUUGCCUAUCCCAAAGAGUGAGAAUAGCAAUGAUGGAAGUGGAUGCCCACUCGGGUUUCCCUCCAGGAACAUCAGCCAAGUAUAACAUGUUAAUUCCCACCUCAAAUAUCAAGGAUGGAUCCAAAGACGACGCCAAAAAAGGUGCCAAAUGUGAAACAACAUCAGAUACACCCACAAACCUUUCCGCACUCACAGUCUCUAACGAACUAGCAUUCCCACUCUUGGAAGACCUCGAUAGCUUCUUGAUCACCUCUAUCGAACCCGAAGCUACCGCCUUCACAGCAUACACAAGCGGACAAACCGUAGCUCGAAAGUUCUCUAUUGGGAGAACCAACGACCGCGCCAUUAACGCAUUCCUCCUCCUCCAAACAAAUUCAACCAUAGAAGAAACCCAAUUAGACCUAAUAGCAACAGAGUUUUCACUAUCCACAAGCUUAUCACCAGCCAAACGACUCAUCCUUUUCGACUCAAACUCCUGAAACAAUCUCCCUACAGACUCAAACGCUACUUUUGAAACAGCAUCAGAUUUAUCAAGCAUGUUCUGCCCUAUCCUAAUCCACCAAUUAGAAACCCUAUCCAACAAAUUCAUAUUAUUCUCACACAAUGUAACCAGAUCAUCACGUGCAAGGAUACAACCAAGUGUUUCAGUAAUAGCAAAACGGAGAUUAUCACUCGUAGAAUCAAAACAGCUAGAGAUCUGCUUAUUACAGUCAGAAAUAAGCUUACCGAGACGGUAAGAAGGAAUAGCAGCAAGUAUAGACACAGCAGCAGCAGUAACGUCGGGAUCGGGGAAGUCGAGAUCGUUGCGAAUUCCGGUACAGACUAUUUCCCAAAGGUCAGCGGUGAGACGAGUGGAGCGAAUUAGGUCAAAUGCGAGUUUUUUCGAAAUGGCGGAAGCUGGUGAUGCGACGAUCUCUUCGACGGCGGAUUUGGCAAGAACGGAGAUGUCUCUGCCGGCGGCGGAUUGUUGGAGAGCUUGGAGAAGUGCUCCUGAUUGACGGAGCGCGUCAUUUGAACGGAGAUCGGCUUGGAUCUGAGCGAAUAGUAUGUCCAUUUGAAGCAGUUGUUAAUUUUAAUGAUAGAAGGGAGCGAAGAGUAGAUUUUUGUAUGUUUGCUCUGAAGCAGUAGGUUGCUUCGGAGCUCAAAUGGAGGAAGGCCACUCACGUCUGAGUUGCCAUGGGUUAGUUUCUGUGUUUUGUAAAUGAUUCGAAUAUUCAGCUUUCUCGCCUUUUCUGUCUGUUGAUCACGGAGGGAGGAUUACCGGCGGGCGGGGGACCGUUUUAACGGGGCGUUCAUUUAAGGACUAUUUCGCUAAAUUGAUUUUGACCAUCAUGUUUUGCUAGUUGCUACACACAGUUUAACGGGC
rnacentral:lncRNA from 1 species